CUUAAAUGCACUGAUACCAUCCGAAGAUGUAUCUUUACAAUACGCAAGAAAAGACGAUGCCAUACAAGCUAUCAUUAACUCCGGCAAGGCAGCAUGGUUAAGUAAAACAGAUAUCACAAAUGCAUCCAAACUACUGCCAGUCCAUCAAUCAUUCUGGCACCUGCAUGGCGUUAAGUGGGAAGACAAGUACUACUUCGCAACCAGACUAACUUUUG